GACGAACGCUGGCGGCGUGCUUAACACAUGCAAGUCGAACGGAAAGGCCCUGCUUUUGUGGGGUGCUCGAGUGGCGAACGGGUGAGUAACACGUGAGUAACCUACCCUUGACUUUGGGAUAACUUCAGGAAACUGGGGCUAAUACCGGAUAGGAGCUCCUGCUGCAUGGUGGGGGUUGGAAAGUUUCGGCGGUUGGGGAUGGACUCGCGGCUUAUCAGCUUGUUGGUGGGGUAGUGGCUUACCAAGGCUUUGACGGGUAGCCGGCCUGAGAGGGUGACCGGCCACAUUGGGACUGAGAUACGGCCCAGACUCCUACGGGAGGCAGCAGUGGGGAAUAUUGCACAAUGGGCGGAAGCCUGAUGCAGCAACGCCGCGUGCGGGAUGACGGCCUUCGGGUUGUAAACCGCUUUCGCCUGUGACGAAGCGUGAGUGACGGUAAUGGGUAAAGAAGCACCGGCUAACUACGUGCCAGCAGCCGCGGUGAUACGUAGGGUGCGAGCGUUGUCCGGAUUUAUUGGGCGUAAAGGGCUCGUAGGUGGUUGAUCGCGUCGGAAGUGUAAUCUUGGGGCUUAACCCUGAGCGUGCUUUCGAUACGGGUUGACUUGAGGAAGGUAGGGGAGAAUGGAAUUCCUGGUGGAGCGGUGGAAUGCGCAGAUAUCAGGAGGAACACCAGUGGCGAAGGCGGUUCUCUGGGCCUUUCCUGACGCUGAGGAGCGAAAGCGUGGGGAGCGAACAGGCUUAGAUACCCUGGUAGUCCACGCUGUAAACGGUGGGUACUAGGUGUGGGGUCCAUUCCACGGGUUCCGUGCCGUAGCUAACGCUUUAAGUACCCCGCCUGGGGAGUACGGCCGCAAGGCUAAAACUCAAAGGAAUUGACGGGGCCCCGCACAAGCGGCGGAGCAUGCAGAUUAAUUCGAUGCAACGCGUAGAACCUUACCUGGGUUUGACAUGGAUCGGGAGCGCUCAGAGAUGGGUGUGCCUCUUUUGGGGUCGGUUCACAGGUGGUGCAUGGCUGUCGUCAGCUCGUGUCGUGAGAUGUUGGGUUAAGUCCCGCAACGAGCGCAACCCUUGUUCACUGUUGCCAGCACGUUAUGGUGGGGACUCAGUGGAGACCGCCGGGGUCAACUCGGAGGAAGGUGGGGAUGACGUCAAGUCAUCAUGCCCCUUAUGUCCGGGGCUUCACGCAUGCUACAAUGGCUGGUACAGAGAGUGGCGAGCCUGUGAGGGUGAGCGAAUCUCGGAAAGCCGGUCUCAGUUCGGAUUGGGGUCUGCAACUCGACCUCAUGAAGUCGGAGUCGCUAGUAAUCGCAGAUCAGCAACGCUGCGGUGAAUACGUUCCCGGGGCUUGUACACACCGCCCGUCAAGUCAUGAAAGUUGGUAACACCCGAAGCCGGUGGCCUAACCGUUGUGGGGGAGCCGUCGAAGGUGGGACUGGUGAUUAGGACU
rnacentral:rRNA from 1 species